rnacentral:lncRNA from 1 species
AAAAUAUACCAACUACAAAUAUUAUUUUUUAUCAAUUACAUAUUUUAUUUUAAAAAUGAUAUAUUUUAUAAAUAUUUAAUAAAAAUAUAGUAAUAACAAAGUACCAAACUCAAGCAGUGAAUAUUACUAAACUAGGAUAUAUCUUGUGAAGAUCUAAUGGCCCAAAUUCCACGAAGCCCCUCCUAAAUCCUUUUUUCUUUCUAUGCUUUUCUUUAAUCAUUUUUAAACACCUCCAUCUCUCCUUCCUCUUCUCCUUCGAUCCUCUUCUCUCACACCCUCCCCCCAACUUUCUCG